UACGUAGGUGGCAAGCGUUGUCCGGAAUUAUUGGGCGUAAAGCGCGCGCAGGUGGUUCCUUAAGUCUGAUGUGAAAGCCCACGGCUCAACCGUGGAGGGUCAUUGGAAACUGGGGAACUUGAGUGCAGGAGAGAAGAGUGGAAUUCCACGUGUAGCGGUGAAAUGCGUAGAGAUGUGGAGGAACACCAGUGGCGAAGGCGACUCUUUGGCCUGUAACUGACACUGAUGCGCGAAAGCGUGGGGAGCAAACAGG
rnacentral:rRNA from 1 species